rnacentral:rRNA from 1 species
GAGUUUGAUCCUGGCUCAGGACGAACGCUGGCGGCGUGCUUAACACAUGCAAGUCGAACGAAGCUUGAUGAUUGAUUUCUUCGGAAAGAAAUUUGAUAUGACUGAGUGGCGGACGGGUGAGUAACGCGUGGGUAACCUACCCUGUACAGGGGGAUAACAGUCAGAAAUGACUGCUAAUACCGCAUAAGACCACAGCACCGCAUGGUGCAGGGGUAAAAACUCCGGUGGUACAGGAUGGACCCGCGUCUGAUUAGCUGGUUGGUGAGGUAACGGCUCACCAAGGCGACGAUCAGUAGCCGGCUUGAGAGAGUGAACGGCCACAUUGGGACUGAGACACGGCCCAAACUCCUACGGGAGGCAGCAGUGGGGAAUAUUGCACAAUGGGGGAAACCCUGAUGCAGCGACGCCGCGUGAGUGAAGAAGUAUUUCGGUAUGUAAAGCUCUAUCAGCAGGGAAGAAAAUGGCGGUACCUGACUAAGAAGCCCCGGCUAACUACGUGCCAGCCGCCGCGGUAU